GUGGGCAGGCAGACGGAGGCAAGCACAGCGCGGGCCAGAGCACAGCGCCGAUCCAAAGGCUCGCGACUUGAUAACGUGGAUGUUUACAACUCGCAUCUGUUGUGUCGCUGUCUCCGUUUGGGUUCCUUUUAUUUAUUUAUUUUCGUGCCGUUACUUGGUGAGUUUGUUUUGGCACCCUCCUCGGUUUCUCGCGUGAGCUGCAGUCGCCGGUGCCGGUUUCAGAUGUGUGUUUGUGGGGCUGUGUGUCACCCUGUGCACGAACAGACGCUCUCGCGUCAGUAGGAGGGGAUUGUGGGAAAAAAAGGGGCGUAGCUCUCAGAGGGUGUGCUCCACUCCUCUCUUUUCCCUUCUUCCCGCCAUCAUGGCCCUCUUCUCCUCCAGUCCUCUGGCCCAGGCCGCCGCUCACAUAUCGUGCUUCAGGUAUUUUCCCCUUUUUAUCCUGAAACACCUCUCGCUGCUUAUUUCGCCGCCCUGUAAUGUUGCUCUCAUACUUCCUCUGUCCUUCGUCGCGAUCUCGGUCUUGUAAACGUGUCGCUCGUCGUCUGCUGCCACGCCGCACGCCGCCAUUUUGGCUCGGUGGGCAAAUCAGGAGAAACUUUUGUCGAGCUCAGAGGGUCGCCGGGACUCCCUGCCAUCUCUAGGGUCCCUUCGCACGCUGUUGGCUCUCUUCUCUCAUGCUCGUCUUCCCUUCCCUCUCUGCUCUCAGACCAAGCGCUGAACAAUCUUUUCGUGUUUUUCCAUAACGAACAAACAGGUGCCGCGCUGCAUAAUGGCGGGCGCGAGUACAGGUCUUGUUCGUUAACUUUAAAGCGUUGACCAAAUGUGGUAAGUGAGUGGAACUCUCGAAGGAUCACAAACGCAGGACGACUGAGGCGCUCUUAUCGUUGUGAGCGGUUAUGAUAAGUAACACAAUGUUUCUUAUUCCCCUUACGCAAUCUUUGCACUUUUGUCUUUGAGGAAAACAUUUUUUUUUUUAAGGAACGAGCACAUUUCUGGUUUGUACAAUCCAGUAGCGUGACAUUCUUUCGAAAGUGGCAACUGUAAUGUUUGUCUUAUCAUCUGUCGAUGUGUGCUGAUCAUUUGCAUCGUGAAACGGAGUCAGGGUGAACACAGCUGACACAGAAGAAGAAAAAAACGUGCAGAUGAGCAAAAAUGCCUUUGUACUCUACAUGCCGUAACUGGAAGGCUAAAAGUGACCAUUUGGACAGCUUCACGCUACCUUAAAGAGAACAAAAAUGAUCACCAAUCUGUAUACGUUUAAAUAAUCUGUAUUUCUGCCACUUGUGUUAAUACUGUCUCUCAGUAGCACUUGGUUCUAAGAUGGCGCUGCAAUGCCACGUGUCGGAAGAAGGGCAAAUAUGGGCGGGCGCCAUGCUUCCUCGGCCUAUUAGUCCAGAUUGUGUCACAUCGGCAGGUCUCAUUCAGUCGCUCACUUGUUUGGGCAUUAAGAUGCAAACGAAUACCUUGAUCAGGCAGUCAAUUUAGGAGCCUUGUCACGCGAGCGCGAUGAGAGAAAGACGGCGAAGAAAAGGAGAGACGACACGGGUGCAUGAGAGAUGGGAGUGGCAGAGCUCCCUCCCUGCAUUCUCGCGUGUCCUCAGAUGAACUUUGUGUGUUUACUCAUUAUGUUUCUCCUCGAGGCAGUCAGGCUGACUUCCUGCUUGUAGCUGAUUGGCUGAUGUCUUGGCUGACCUGUUGCUGUUGGCAGCAAGGCGACAGGAAGUUUCUGGUCUGAAACAGGAAGCUGCAGCUGUUUGAGCCGAAUCAUGCCAUACCUUUGUGUCUGUACGCGUCGAGUGGCUUCCGUGUAACGACGGGGUUGUGUUUGGUUCGGAACAUUAAGCCUUGGUUACUUGCAAUAAGCAAAUAUAUUUUUUCAUUGUUUUCCUCCGAAUGUUCUGGAUUUUGAUUACGGUAUCGCCAAAGGAAGUAGCCAUUGCGCAUAUGCAACCAACGUCAUGUUGACUUCUUCCGACAGCAAACGAGUGAGAUUCAAUCAACAGCCCCUCUGCUGGUUGAAGCCAAGUAGUGCACUCCAGUUGGCCUCAAUUUCUUCAAUAUGGAAUUCUUAAUCAAUGAAUCGAUGAAACCCAACCCAAAUGGUGAGCGCACGUUUGAUUGGGAUAUCAGCGAAGGUCUCUCUCUACAAGCCAAGCAGAGGAGAAAGAAAUAUUCUUAGACAAAACCAAAUGACAUUGCAAAUGAAUCUGUCAAGCUUUAGGGGUUGAACGACUGCCGAUAUUUUUGUCGCCGACUACAUGUGAGGAGUCGCGUUAAUAAAACGAUGUCACUGAUAUUUUGUGAUGAGUCGUUUCGUGUCAAUAAAAUGAUGAGGUCUCUGAUAUUUUGCGAUCAGUCGUGUUGCGUCAAUAAAAUGAUGACGUCGUUGAUAUUUUUUCAGCACAGUAUAGCUGUCCCCAACCUUUUUUUGCGCCAUGGACUGUUUUCACGAAAAGAUGUGAUAGCGUGUUGUGAUAGGAAUAAAUAAUAAUAAUAAAAUCAGACUGCAACGUUUAUGCUUGGCCAGCUUUCAAGAAUACAGGCUUAUCUACGUUUGAAAAGAAUGGUGGGACAGUUUCAUAGUGACACAAUGGAGCAUUUACUACCACAUUAUCUGAGUCUCUCACGUUUGCCCUCCUUUUAUUCCCGUCGGGCUGCAAAGCGUCAGAGGUAUUUUCAUGUAAUCAACACGUCGUAAAGCAGGAUCCACCAAACUGACGGUCCAGGCCAAACAACUGUAUCACUGUGGUUGAGAACAUGCAUUUGUGUGCGCAUGCUUUCUUUUGUCUUUGAGACUGGCUAAUGAGGAGCUAAAGAACAUUAGGUGCAGGCAACACACCAAGCGGGCAUUAAGGGAGCUCUGCGCCAGUUGCAGAGCAAAUGCGACGGAUUGGGAACAAGUAAAAGAAGUAAAGUGACUCUGGACUCUCACCAUGACAAGACAACUUAGGUGCAUGCUUUUUCGAUCAUCUUAACUGUGGGAAUUUUUCAUUCAUCCAAUUAUGUGGCAUACUGCUCUGCCAACUCCCCCCUCCUUGCCGCCGCCGCCUUCCUCCCUCAUUGAAAUUCUGCCAGGCACACAGACACUGCCCAUUCUUGGCAUCAAGCUCGGAGGGAAACUGCGACCAAAAGAGUGACAGAGACACAUUCUUCUGCAGUAGUCUGGUGACAACUUGGUAUUUGUGCCAAGCAUUCUCCACGACAGGAAAGACUGACGGAUAUUUCCUUGACUUUACGGUUUUUGAUCAGCCACUGGCUAUUUUUUUGGGUGUCUGCUGAUUUACAAAAUGAUUUGUGUUUUACAGAAAUGUAACACGCCCAGACUGUUCUUGCAACUGAGCAAAACCAAAACCUAUUUGUUAAAUGUUAGCUUCAUUGAUGAACUUUAUUUUCAUUGUUUUAUUCACUGUUGGAGUUGAGAUGGUGAUGGUGGCGUGUACAAACAAGUGGUUAAAUGAUACAAAAUAUUAAAACAAACAAAGAUUGUAUUAUUGUUGUAAUUUAUUUGGUCAAGAGAGUCAUUUUCGUAAUCCUACCGAACAUUAUGAGGUAACUUCCCUCAUAUGUUUUCAGAGACAUUAUGACCAGCAUUUUGUCUUUCUUCCACCUUACUGACCAGUACGCAUUUGUAAUAGCUUAACAUCUACUUAAUAUAAUGAAUAUAAAGUUCAAUGGAAAAUCUUUUUUUUUUUUUUUAUUGUGAGGGGGAGAAUGGAAAAGUAAUAAAGGAAAAAUAAACUUCUAGAGAUGUUGAAUCAGAUGUUUCUGGACUGUGAUACAAUUCACCCAGAAUUGGAGUUUUCAGCCAUUUGACCCACGUUUCCCCCUAAACUAGCCCGCGUCAUAUCAAUAUUAGGCUGUCCAUCUUUCGUUGGCUGUCAGGAGCUGUUUUCUUCCUGGCCAAACACAGCUUGUACAUGUGCCAUUGGCACUGUUGCAGGGAUGGGCAUGAUGCCAAUGCAUCCCUCCUCCCCACCUCUGCCCGUCUGGUCCUCAAAUCAGACGGAAAGAGUGUGUGGACGUUAAUGAUGGGCUGCUCGGGACCUGUGUCAGGCUGUAUGCUAAUUUAUGUUUCUCUGACUAUUUGAAAUACUCAAUGACCCCCCCCCAACACGUUACCUCCCCGACCUUGAUCUGCGAUUGAGUCGUCUGAAUGAUUUGGCUUAGUAUCGCCGCUUGGCACAAGUUCGAGUCUCCAUCACUCGAGAUGGAACAGCAUCAGGGAACGGCAGAAUGGAAAAAGAAAUGUUUUAUUGCAGAGCUAAAAUGGCCGGUGCGUAAGUCGCCAUUUUGUGUUUCCUUGUUUUGUUUCGGAGAGCAGAAUCCCAGUCAUGUAUCCGAUCCGAGGCAGCUGGUGGCAGCCAUGUUUGCAGGCGCGCCAGUGUGUGUGUGUGUGUGUGUGUACUUUAUCUGAGAAGCAGCGCAGGGAUAGCCCGCUGGAACCAGCUCAGUUUUUGGCAAAAUCGGAAAUGAGCCGCUAGCAAGGAGGCGAGCCGUUUUUUUUUUUUUUCCUCCCCCUAUUUCCCUUUCGAUCGCAUGAAAGAGUAUCAGGAAGCCAGAGCGUGACCUUGAUGGCUCCACCGAGCGAGGCAACAUGAAUGCUGCCCUUGGGCCUGAGGUAGUAGAUUGAAUAGUUGUGAGGGUUGUGUAGCCUCUUUUCCAGAUAACUAUACAAUCUACUGUCUUUCCCAAGGAGACAGCUUACUCAGCCAGUCAUCGCCCAGGCGACAAUUGCGCUUUGCACAUGCGGGCAGCACGCAGAGAUUGCUGCGAGCGUUUCUGCGUUUGCUUUCCAAGUGGUGUAUUAGGUUACUUGACAGGUGGAUGCGCAUUUGAAUCGGGCUUUGUCAGGGUGAGGUAGUAGGUUGUAUAGUUUGGUGGGUGGGUCUGCACCCUGCUCAGGUGAUAACUAUACAGUCUAUUGCCUUCCUUGAGAAGCUCACCGACAACCAACCGAUUACAGCACUGGUUCCCUGCAAACUUUUAUGGAGCCGCAUCACAUAUUUAACAAAAAAUAAAUAAAAAAUCUCAUCGAACACCAGCAAACAAAACUCUCACAGGAUGUAUGUUUUACGAUGAUUUCAUCUUAAUUUACUGAACACAAAGUUAUUAUUCUGUUGUACGUAUGGCAACAAGUGGAUACAUAGGUUCAUUGUGCCUACUGCCAUCCAUUUUAUGGUUAUGCCUGUCACUAUACGUCGGUGGCAUAGUUAGAUAAACAAAAUUAACUCUAGAACUGGUGCAUAAAUAAUAAUUUCCGCACCAAUUAAGUGAAAUUGGAUCAUUUGCCAUGGCAUACCUGAUGAUCUCUCACGGCGCAAUGGUUUCGAAAUCACAGUACAGUAUUGAACGACACAUCGAUCACAGUGUUCACGUCAUUGCAUGUGUCAUGUGACUAACUUGCAGUUUGUAAAUGAUAAUAAAGUUUUUCAAGUGA